AAUCUGCAAGGCUGGAACCGUAAAUGUGUAAUCUUGAACCUAUAAUAAUAAUAAGUACAGUGUCGAGUUAGCCAUCAAAACGAUCCACUCUAACACUGACCUGAGCACAUAACACCUUUAUCACGCCGAAAUAUUAUAGCGCGAGCAGAAUAGGAAUACUAAUAGAUUAGUCAAAGCAGCCUCUGUAGAGAACCAAGGAAACCCGUUUAUCCCUUAGCAAAAAAAAGGGCU